UGUAAGCGUAUACCAAAGUUGUUGCAGUUAACGCUCGUAGUCGGAAUUUGGCAGUUCCGGAUGUGUGCACGUCGUGUGCGCACUUCGCGGGGAUUGCUUUUGUGGUCUUGCGUAGGAUGAGGCACUUUUAUUAGUGAACGUCCUCACGCAACCACUUUUUACUGUGAGAAAAUCAGAGUGCUCAAAGCAGGCAUUUGCCGUGAAUGUAUUAGCAUGGAAUAAUAGAAUAGGACUUGGUUCUAUUUUGUUGGUUUGUUGGGACUGAGUAAUGAUUAAGAGGGACAGUUGGGGGCAUUCGUAUUUCGGCGCUAGAGGUGAAAUUCUUAGAUUGCCGAAAGACAAACUGCUGCGAAAGCGUCUGCCAAGGAUGUUUUCAUUGA
rnacentral:rRNA from 1 species